UGUUAUCGCGAUGAGGAUUCAAAGCUCCCUCUUCUGAGAUUUGAAAUUGAGGAAAGUUGCUGGCAGAAUCGAACCAUAAUAUCUUGGCCACCACUGAGUGA